rnacentral:rRNA from 1 species
CAGCAGCCGCGGGAAUACGAAGGGGGCUAGCGUUGUUCGGAAUCACUGGGCGUAAAGGGUGCGUAGGCGGAUUCUUAAGUCAGGGGUGAAAUCCCGAGGCUCAACCUCGGAACUGCCUUUGAUACUGGGGAUCUUGAGUCCGGAAGAGGUGGGUGGAACUGCGAGUGUAGAGGUGAAAUUCGUAGAUAUUCGCAAGAACACCGGUGGCGAAGGCGGCUCACUGGUCCGGAACUGACGCUGAGGCACGACAGCGUGGGGAGCAAACAGGAUUAGAUACCCCGGUAGUCCCUGUCUCUUAUAC